GACGAACGCUGGCGGCGUGCUUAACACAUGCAAGUCGAACGAUGAAGCCCUUUCGGGGGUGGAUUAGUGGCGAACGGGUGAGUAACACGUGGGUAACCUGCCCUCGUACCCUGGGAUAAGCCUUGGAAACGAGGUCUAAUACCGGAUAUGACCUGCUCUCGCAUGGGGGUGGUGGAAAGUUUGGCGGUGCAGGAUGGACCCGCGGCCUAUCAGCUUGUUGGUGGGGUGAUGGCCUACCAAGGCGACGACGGGUAGCCGGCCUGAGAGGGCGACCGGCCACACUGGGACUGAGACACGGCCCAGACUCCUACGGGAGGCAGCAGUGGGGAAUAUUGCACAAUGGGGCGAAAGCCUGAUGCAGCGACGCCGCGUGAGGGAUGAC
rnacentral:rRNA from 1 species